rnacentral:rRNA from 1 species
UGCCAGCCGCCGCGGUAAUACGAAGGGCCCGAGCGUUAAUCGGAAUCACUGGGCUUAAAGCGUACGCAGGUGGAUGUGAAGGCAUCUUGUGAAAUCCCUCGGCUCAACCGAGGAAUUGCUCGGUGAACCACACGUCUUGAGGCAGGUAGGGGUUGUCGGAACGCUAGGUGGAGUGGUGAAAUGCGUUGAUAUCUAGCGGAACGCCAAAGGAGUAAUCUGGCAACUGGGCCUGUCCUGACACUGAGGUACGAAAGCGUGGGGAGCGAACGGGAUUAGAUA